rnacentral:rRNA from 1 species
GAUGAACGCUAGCGACAGGCCUAACACAGUGCAAGUCGAGGGCAGCAUGAACUUAGCUUGCUAAGUUUGAUGGCGACCGGCGCACGGGUGAGUAACACGUAUCCAACCUUCCGUUUACUCAGGGAUAGCCUUUCGAAAGAAAGAUUAAUACCUGAUAGUAUGGUGAGAUUGCAUGAUAGCACCAUUAAAGAUUUAUUGGUAAACGAUGGGGAUGCGUUCCAUUAGGUAGUAGGCGGGGUUAACGGCCCACCUAGCCGACGAUGGAUAGGGGUUCUGAGAGGAAGGUCCCCCACAUUGGAACUGAGACACGGUCCAAACUCCUACGGGAGGCAGCAGUGAGGAAUAUUGGUCAAUGGGCGAGAGCCUG